rnacentral:lncRNA from 1 species
AUCCUAAAUACAGGGGUCAAAAGGGAUGAAUUAUACAGUAACCAUAUUCACGUAGGUUCUGAGUGUUGCGAUUGCGACUAUUCGAUCUAUCUGAAUAUCGGGUACCAUUGCUAGAUGGUCACUUCAAUUAGUACAGAAAUUGAUUCUUGUGCUACCGGCUUAGGUUCGAACCUGCGGGGUCACACACAUUAGAGGUUUCUAUCUGAUAUGAUGGC